CAAAUAACUCAUAUAAUUCAUUCAGGUAAUUAUAUUUUCCCUAUGAGUGAAUUGUUGCAUGUUUGAGUGUUUGAUUGACUGAUUUCAUAUAUGAGAGGAAGAAUAGUGUAUAUGUGAAUGUAAGUACGAAUGUGAUUUUAGCCUAAGUUGUUUUGAUGUGUUCCAGGUGUUGGUAAUGAUAAUAUAUAUGUUGAUUUGUAGUUACUGUAGAAUUAAUGUUGCAUAUUGUUUACACGGAUUUUAGGUACGCUUGGUAUAUCUGGCUUGGAGGAGCUUGGUGAACGUCGUGUGCACCCUAGUGCCAUACACCGGGGUGUGUUUAAUUGACCGGGAAUAAAACGUUCUCACCCCGUAA